rnacentral:rRNA from 1 species
GACAGAGGUGCCGAGCGUUAGGCGGAAUCACUGGGCUUAAAGCGUGUGUAGGCGGAUCGUUAAGUACCUUGUGAAAUCCCACGGCUCAACCGUGGAACUGCUGGGUAUACUGGCGGUCUUGAGCCACCUAGGGGCGAGCGGAACAAGCGGUGGAGCGGUGAAAUGCGUAGAUAUCGCUUGGAACGCCGACGGUGAAAACAGCUCGCUGGGGGUGUGCUGACGCUGAGACACGAAAGCCAGGGGAGCGAACGGG